UCCUUCGGCCCCAGAGGAAGAUCCCAAACUGACCUUGAUGAGAUCCUGUCCUGUGAGCAGACUGUUCAAAUGGGGCAAGUGUUCCUCUCGAGGAAGCUGAGCUCAACYGCGGUAGAGGCCCUGGAUUCCAAGUCCCUCCUGGCCCAGAUAAAGACUGCUGAUGUCCAGCAAGCUGUAGAGGAGGAACAGGCUGAGAUCACUGCGCUAGAGGACAGAGUGGCCAGAGCCCUGGAGCUCAGAGAGAAGAGCGGAGCAAAGACAGCAGGAGAUUGAGAAUCUGAACAGAGCCAUCCUCACGAAAAAGGCAAACAUCAAGCAUCUGAUGAAGGAACUAUCAGAGCUCAAAUCCCAACUGGCUGUGGCAGAGGAGUCUUUGCUAGCCAUUCAAGGCGAGAUGGACACUUUGAAAGACACAGAAAAAGAGGAAGACACAGGUCCCCAGGAGGCAUUGCAAGUCGCCCCAAGCCAAGCAAAAGUCCCAAGAAGGCACCCAAGACAAAAAGGAAUGGUGGAGAAACAAUUACCCAACAGCCUUCUCAUGUCCGAAUUAAAGCUGAAAAUACACCUACCAUA